GUGCCAGCAGCCGCGGUAAUACGAAGGGUGCAAGCGUUACUCGGAAUUACUGGGCGUAAAGCGUGCGUAGGUGGUCGUUUAAGUCUGUUGUGAAAGCCCUGGGCUCAACCUGGGAACUGCAGUGGAAACUGGACGACUAGAGUGUGGUAGAGGGUAGCGGAAUUCCUGGUGUAGCAGUGAAAUGCGUAGAGAUCAGGAGGAACAUCCAUGGCGAAGGCAGCUACCUGGACCAACACUGACACUGAGGCACGAAAGCGUGGGGAGCAAACAGGAUUAGAUACCCUGGUAGUCCACGCCCUAAACGAUGCGAACUGGAUGUUGGGUGCAAUUUGGCACGCAGUAUCGAAGCUAACGCGUUAAGUUCGCCGCCUGGGGAGUACGGUCGCAAGACUGAAACUCAAAGGAAUUGACGGGGGCCCGCACAAGCGGU
rnacentral:rRNA from 1 species